rnacentral:rRNA from 1 species
AUUGAACGCUGGCGGCAUGCCUUACACAUGCAAGUCGAACGGCAGCACGGGAGCAAUCCUGGUGGCGAGUGGCGAACGGGUGAGUAAUGUAUCGGAACGUACCUUUCAGUGGGGGAUAACGUAGCGAAAGUUACGCUAAUACCGCAUAUUCUGUGAGCAGGAAAGCAGGGGAUCGCAAGACCUUGCGCUGAUUGAGCGGCCGAUAUCAGAUUAGCUAGUUGGUGAGGUAAAGGCUCACCAAGGCGACGAUCUGUAGCGGGGUCUGAGAGGAUGAUCCGCCACACUGGAACUGAGACACGGUCCAGACUCCUACGGGAGGCAGCAGUGGGGAAUUUUGGACAAUGGGCGCAAGCCUGAUCCAGCCAUGCCGCGUGAGUGAAGAAGGCCUUCGGGUUGUAAAGCUCUUUCAGCCGGGAAGAAAACGCAUGGGUUAAUACCCUGUGUGGAUGACGGUACCGGAAUAAGAAGCACCGGCUAACUACGUG